UGAGGAAUAUUGGUCAAUGGGCGGAAGCCUGAACCAGCCAAGUAGCGUGCAGGACGACGGCCCUAUGGGUUGUAAACUGCUUUUAUGCGGGGAUAAAGUGGGCCACGUGUGGCCUUUUGCAGGUACCGCAUGAAUAAGGACCGGCUAAUUCCGUGCCAGCAGCCGCGGUAAUACGGAAGGUCCGGGCGUUAUCCGGAUUUAUUGGGUUUAAAGGGAGCGCAGGCCGCCGGGCAAGCGUGUUGUGAAAUGCAGUCGCUCAACGUCUGCACUGCAGCGCGAACUGGGGGGCUUGAGUGCGCGCAGCGCAGGCGGAACUCGUGGUGUAGCGGUGAAAUGCUUAGAUAUCACGAAGAACUCCGAUCGCGAAGGCAGCCUGCGGGAGCGCAACUGACGCUGAGGCUCGAAAGUGCGGGUAUCGAACAGGAUUAGAUACCCUGGUAGU
rnacentral:rRNA from 1 species